CAUUUAUUUAAAUUGCCUUAUACUGUACUGUAAAUACACUGUAUGUAUAAAUUUAUUUUGUUUAAUAAUGCAAUAAUUAUUAUAUACUGUAAACUGUACUUCGGAUUUACACAUGUGAUUGUUGGUACCAAUGUUUUAAACCGUCUUAACUUGUCAAAACGUCUAGAAGAACACAAUUAGGAAGAACAAACAUAAUGUCUUUUAACGUGAUAUGAUUAGUUUGUUGCAAGUUUUCAUAUUCUUUCCAAGUAAUAAUAGUCUACUGUAUUUUCCAACUGGUAAACAAGACAGUGCCAUUAAUUGUGUUUUGUCCAAUAUGCAGAUGUUUCGUAUUUAUUUAGCAUGUACAGGUAGUGUCCAUUGUUGGCCAUCAUAUUGUCCAAUAACUUGUUAGGUUACUGUACAUAUAAAGGUAUGUAAUAUCUCGACAUAGUAGACAUACAAUGUCCCUGACAUCCAUAUGGUAGAUUGGA